rnacentral:lncRNA from 1 species
AAGAAUGUCCUUUAUUUCCAAGCUGGACUUAGAGCCCUAGUCAAUAUGUUUCUUCUUCUUUUCUAUACUUUCAUAAUCCUUGGUCAUAGACAUAAAGCCACAGACCUGAUCUCCUGUCAACUGACCUUAAUUCACAUAAUAAUGUUACUCAUUGGAGGGGACAUUUGCAUCACAGACAUAGUUGAGACACUGAAUAUUAAGAAUUCAAAUGUAAGGCAAUACUUUUCGUAAGCAGGGUGAUGAGAGGCCUCUCUAUCUGCACCACCUGCCCCAUGGGUAUGGUCCAGGCUGUUCCAGUCAUUCCCAGGACCUCACUGUUGGCAAAAUUUAAACAUAGAUUGAAAAUGUGCAUGAUCUAUGUGUUCUUCUAUAUUUGAUCUUUCAGUUUGUUCAAUAUUAACCAGAUUUCUUCUGUUUGACUAGGAAUGCACUAAAUCCUGCUCACUCUUCACCAUAACCUACAUCAUCAGUGGAUUGAUUUUAAAAGUGUCACUCUCCAGAGAUGUUUUUCUUGUAGGAAUCACACUGACCAUGAGCACAUACAUGGCGAUUAUCUUGUUUAGACAACAGAGGCAAUACAGGCAUCUUCAUAGCAUCAGCCACCUGAGAGCUUCCCUUUAAAAAAAGAGACACCCAGACCAUCUUGCUGCUGGUGGUUUUCUUUGUGGCCAUUUACUGGGUGGACUUUACUGUCUCACCUACCUCAGAACUGUUAUGGAUGUAUGACCCUGUCAUCCAGACUAUUCAGAACUUUGUGGUGAAUGCCUAUCCCACAAUUACUUUUUUGGUACAAAUCAGUUCUGAUAAGAGAAUAAUCAAUGUGCUAACAGACUUGCAGACUUAGUGCAACUAA